CCUACGGGAGGCAGCAGUGGGGAAUCUUGCGCAAUGGGCGAAAGCCUGACGCAGCCAUGCCGCGUGAAUGAUGAAGGUCUUAGGAUUGUAAAAUUCUUUCACCGGGGACGAUAAUGACGGUACCCGGAGAAGAAGCCCCGGCUAACUUCGUGCCAGCAGCCGCGGUAAUACGAAGGGGGCUAGCGUUGCUCGGAAUUACUGGGCGUAAAGGGAGCGUAGGCGGAUAGUUUAGUCAGAGGUGAAAGCCCAGGGCUCAACCUUGGAAUUGCCUUUGAUACUGGCUAUCUUGAGUACGGAAGAGGUAUGUGGAACUCCGAGUGUAGAGGUGAAAUUCGUAGAUAUUCGGAAGAACACCAGUGGCGAAGGCGACAUACUGGUCCGUUACUGACGCUGAGGCUCGAAAGCGUGGGGAGCAAACAGGAUUAGAUACCCUGGUAGUCCACGCUGUAAACGAUGAGUGCUAGUUGUCGGCAUGCAUGCAUGUCGGUGACGCAGCUACGACAUUAAGACACUCCGCCGUCGGGGAGGUACGGUCGCGAAGAAUUAAACUACAAUAGAAGUUAGACGGCGUGAGACGUGCCGACGGACGACGACGAGGGAGGUUAGG
rnacentral:rRNA from 1 species